UCGAGGGGCAGCGGGGGCGUAGCAAUAUGCCUGCCGGCGACCGGCGCACGGGUGAGUAACACGUAUGUAACCUGCCCUAUGCAGGGGGAUAACCCGGAGAAAUCCGGCCUAAUACCGCGUAAUACCUUAGGGGAGCAUUCUCUUGAGGUUAAAGGAGAGAUCCGGCAUAGGAUGGACAUGCGUCGCAUUAGGUAGACGGCGGGGUAACGGCCCACCGUGCCGACGAUGCGUAGGGGUUCUGAGAGGAAGGCCCCCCACACUGGUACUGAGACACGGACCAGACUCCUACGGGAGGCAGCAGUGAGGAAUAUUGGUCAAUGGCCGAGAGGCUGAACCAGCCAAGUCGCGUGAGGGAAGAAUGUCCUAAGGAUUGUAAACCUCUUUUGUCGGGGAGCAAAAAGGCUCUGCGGAGUCGUAUUGAGAGUACCCGAAGAAAAAGCAUCGGCUAACUCCGUGCCAGCAGCCGCGGUAAUACGGAGGAUGCGAGCGUUAUCCGGAUUUAUUGGGUUUAAAGGGUGCGCAGGCGGCGUGUCAAGCAAGCGGUAAAAUAGCGGGGCUCAACCCCGUCGAGCCGUUUGAACUGGCGCGCUUGAGUUCAGGCGAGGUAGGCGGAAUUCGUGGUGUAGCGGUGAAAUGCAUAGAUAUCACAAAGAACUCCGAUUGCGAAGGCAGCUUAACAGUCUGGCGGCUGAACGCUCCGGCACGAAAAGUGUGGGUAUCGAACAGGAUUAGAUACCCUGGUAGUCCACACAGUAAACGAUGAGCGCUAGGUGUCCGGGUCGAAUGAGGCUUGGGUGCCCGAGCGAAAGCGUUAAGCGCUCCACCUGGGGAGUACGCCGGCAACGGUGAAACUCAAAGGAAUUGACGGGGGCCCGCACAAGCGGAGGAACAUGUGGUUUAAUUCGAUGAUACGCGAGGAACCUUACCCGGGCUCAAACGACUCAGGAAUAUAUUGGAAACGAUGUAGCCAGCAAUGGUCUGAGUCGAGGUGCUGCAUGGUUGUCGUCAGCUCGUGCCGUGAGGUGUCGGCUUAAGUGCCAUAACGAGCGCAACCCCUACCGCCAGUUGCCAACGGGUAAAGCCGGGAACUCUGGCGGGACUGCCGGCGCAAGCUGCGAGGAAGGCGGGGAUGACGUCAAAUCAGCACGGCCCUUACGUCCGGGGCGACACACGUGUUACAAUGGCAGGUACAGCGGGAAGCCACCUGGUGACAGGGAGCGGAACCCGAAAGCCUGUCUCAGUUCGGAUUGGAGUCUGCAACUCGACUCCAUGAAGCUGGAUUCGCUAGUAA
rnacentral:rRNA from 1 species